GGCCCAGUAGCACAGUGGUUUAGUGCGCCCUGAUGAUUUGUCAGGUUUCAUUUAACGAAUUAUCAGGAGAACCCUUGUUCAAUCCAAGGCUGGGCCC